GAAACUGCGAAUGGCUCAUUAAAUCAGUUAUAAUUUAUUUGAUCGUCACUACUACAUGGACAACCGUAGUAAUUCUAGAGCUAAUACACGCAUUAAGGCCCGACUUUGAAGGGCUGCAUUUAUUAGAUCCCAAACUCGACACGCGCAAGCGGUCUCGAUGAUUCAUAAUAAUUUCGCGAACCGGCGCAAGCCGGUGGUUCAUUCAAAUUUCUGCCCUAUCAAGUUUCGAUUGUAAGGUAGUGGCUUACAAUGCUAUCGACGGGUAACGGAGAAUUAGGGUUCGAUUCCGGAGAGGGAGCCUGAGAAACGGCUACCACUUCCAAGGAAGGCAGCAGGCGCGCAAAUUACCCAAUCCUAAUACAGGGAGGUAGUGACGAAAAAUAACAGCGCUUAGCCCUACGGGUUGAGCAACUGGAAUGAGAACAAUUUAGAACCCUUAACGAGGAUCAAUUGGAGGGCAAGUCUGGUGCCAGCAGCCGCGGUAAUUCCAGCUCCAAUAGCGUAUAUUAAAGUUGUUGCGGUUAAAACGCUCGUAGUUGGAUUUGUGUGAUGUCGUCUUUGGUCCAGCUUGCUGCGUACUGAAGAGAUGUUGCUUUUGUCGCCUUGGGGGCUUAGUUCCUUUACUGGUUCUCUGCUCUGCUUGGUGACGAUUACUUUGAACAAAUUAGAGUGUUUAAAGCAGGCUUAUGCCCUGAAUAGAUUAGCAUGGAAUAACAACAGGAUUUUGCUCCUGAUUUGUUGGUUUAUGGGAGUGAAAGUAAGGUUAAUAGGGUCAGACGGGGGCAUUAGUAUUUAAUAGUCAGAGGUGAAAUUCUUAGAUUUACGAAAGACUAACUAUUGCGAAAGCAUCUGCCAAGAAUGUUUUCAUUAAUCAAGAACGAAAGCCAGGGGAUCGAAGAUGAUCAGAUACCGUCGUAGUCCUGGCAGUAAACUAUGCCAUCUAGGGAUUGGAAGAUGUUAUUUUCAUGACUCUCUCAGCACCUUUCGAGAAAUCAAAGUUUCUGGGUUCCGGGGGGAGUAUGGUCGCAAGGCUGAAACUUAAAGGAAUUGACGGAAAGGCACCACCAGGAGUGGAGCUUGCGGCUUAAUUUGACUCAACACGGGGAAACUUACCAGGUCCAGACAUAGCGAGGAUUGACAGAUUGACAGCUCUUCCUUGAUUUUAUGGGUGGUGGUGCAUGGCCGUUCUUAGUUGGUGGAGUGAUUUGUCUGCUUAAUUGCGAUAACGAACGAGACCUCAGCCUGCUAAAUAGUCCACGUGACCUUGGUCGCGCCGGGCUUCUUAGAGGGACAAUUGCGUGUUUUAACCAAAGGAAG
rnacentral:rRNA from 1 species